GAUGAACGCUGGCGGCGUGCAUAACACAUUCAAGUCGAACGGAGUUAAUGGAAAGCUUGCUUGAAGUUAACUUAGUGGCGGACGGGUGAGUAACGCGUGAGCAACCUGCCUUUGUGAGGGGGACAACGACCGGAAACAGUCGCUAAUACCGCAUGAAGCAACGAAACCGCAUGAUUUUGUUGCCAAAGAUUUAUCGCACAAAGAUGGGCUCGCGUCUGAUUAGAUAGUUGGUGGGGUAACGGCCCACCAAGGCAACGAUCGGUAGCCGGACUGAGAGGUUGAACGGCCACAUUGGGACUGAGACACGGCCCAG
rnacentral:rRNA from 1 species